rnacentral:rRNA from 1 species
AACGAACGCUGGCGGCAGGCCUAACACAUGCAAGUCGAGCGAGGACUUCGGUCCUAGCGGCGGACGGGUGAGUAACGCGUGGGAACGUGCCCUUUGCUUCGGAAUAGCCCUGGGAAACUGGGAGUAAUACCGGAUGAGCCCUUUGGGGGAAAGAUUUAUCGGCGAAGGGUCGGCACGCGUUGGUUUAGGUUGUUGGUGGGGUAAUGGCCUAUCAAGCAGACGAUCCAUAGCUGGGUUGAGAGGCUGAUCAGCCACGCUGAGACUGAGACGCGGCCCAGACUCCUACGGGAGGCAGCAGUGCGGAAUCUUAGACAACGGGGUAAACCCUGAUGGAGCCAUGCCGCUUGAGCGAUGAAGGUCUUAGGGUUGUAAAGCUCUUUCAGCUGGGAAGAUAAUGACGGUACCAGCAGAAGAAGCCCCGGCUAACUCCGUG